UACGGAGGGUGCAAGCGUUAUCCGGAAUCACUGGGUUUAAAGGGUGCGUAGGCGGCUUUAUAAGUCUGUUGUGAAAGCCAUCGGCUUAACCGAUCGAAUUGCAAUGGAUACUGUAGAGCUUGAAUCAGGUUGAGGCAGGCGGAAUGCGACAUGUAGCGGUGAAAUGCUUAGAUAUGUCGUAGAACACCAAUUGCGAAGGCAGCUUGCUGGACCUUGAUUGACGCUGAGGCACGAAAGCGUGGGGAGCAAACAGG
rnacentral:rRNA from 1 species